rnacentral:tRNA from 1 species
AGGUCUAUCGCCAAGCGGUAAGGCAACGGGUUUUGAUCCCGUCAUCCCAUGGUUCGAAUCCAUGCAGACCUGCCA